GCCAGCACGGUGCAGUGGUUUGAGCACUGGACUAUGAUUCUAGACAUCAGGGUUCAAUUCCCUGCUUGGCC
rnacentral:tRNA from 1 species